UUAGAUAUUAUAGAUGUACGGAUAGAAUUGCUUGGAUCUGCCAACUCUCUUCCUUUUAUCUCUACUAUUAUUAAAGGAGAAUCAAACGUCGUGAUGGUUCGACCUCGCUUUAACCCCUUUCUAUCGAUAGCUACCUCGCACAUUCCGCACGAUUUUUUUUUUUCUUUUUUUGCUUCGAGGCGUCCCGCACGAGCACGACCCAAAAAAGCUGAGAAACGAAAACCGAAAGAGAAAACAACCGUGAUCCACGAACUCACCCAUGCCCCCAUCUCUCGGAACCCCUCCAUCCCGAUCGCAUCUCUCUCCUUGGAAAAAUUGCCGCCGCGCGCCCACCAUCCUGUGCACGCCAUUUCGUCGGUCUAGAUCCUGAUCCGUCGCGAGGAGCCGUCCCUCAAACUGCAGCGCCACGGCCGAGCCAUCUCAGAAGGAGGCAAGACGCCGUCUCACUAACUUUCAAAAAAGACGUCGUCUCACUUCCUCGCCUUGUUGCGGCCAUCCAGGACGCGCUGCCGCCGCUGCUGAGCCAUCUCACCUAGCGCCGCUGUCUCACCUCCUCCGUCCCGGACGCGCUGCCGCCGCAAUCGGCCCAUCUCACUUCGCGCCUUCGUCGCCAAACAGGCAAGCCGUCGUCUCACCUCCACCCUCGUCUCUAUUGCGGGCGGCCCCGCCCCUGUACAGCAGCAGAGGAAGCGGGCGUGAAGGCUGGAGCUGGAGGCCGCACUGCUGUGUUUGGCGGCAGGAAGCACGGGAGGCGGGUGGCCAUGGAGAACGGCCACACUGUUCAAGCGCCGGACUCUGUUGUCGACCUCCUCAUCUUCAGGCCCCACCCCGAGCUCGACCCUCCGCAGCCAUCUCGUUCUAUGUUCAAGCACCGCUUGGAUAUCAUUUUCUCCUCCCUACAGCCAGCUCCCCCCUGAUCUCCUCCGCAACGUGCUGCUCCAUGCAUUGGCAGCUAUAAAAGCCCUAGCGAUGGAUUCGAACACCGGCAGCCAUGUGAGCGCCCAUAGCUGUGGACAUGGACGCUUGCGGCGAGAGACGCAGAGCAAGAGCACACUGCUUGCCCUUUAUUGAGUUAACCAUGGUGACAGCUCAGGUGGUGUCGUCCUUGCUAGAUCUGCACGUCAAUGGUGUCGUAAAUUGUAGUGAUAGAUGUACUGGCACUAAUUGUUUUACAGAUGGGGAGAAUAUAGAUUGUAAAAGAGCCUUUAUUUUGUUCUUCUUAUCUAGGACAGGAGAAGUUAAUUCUCACUUGUUUAAAUUACUGGUUCGUAUUCCAUUAGGCAAAGUGGCUUGAAAAUAGACUGUCUUUACUCUUUCUAUGAGACAUAGGGCCGCAAUUUUUUUUUAAAAAAGAGGAUCCAGCCAAUUUGUCUUUCAUUUUUUCCUUGAGAUAAUAAUAUCCUACAUGCUCUACUGGGUCAUCUUCACACUACAGGUUGUUUCAGCUAAUGGUUAUCACUGAGUUCCUGCUGCUAGCUAUGCAAUCCAAUGAUGGUCAGAUACGAAAUGUUGUAGAAUGAAAUAUCCAACACUUUGAGGAGUAGAGUUUUUCAGUUUAUGCAAGCACUUCAUCUUCUUCAUUAGAGACCCUAAAGGUAAUUUCUCAAUGGCACGCUUCUGUGUAUUCAUCAAUGAGUUGAGUUGAUGGUUUAGAAUUUGGGAAACUUGUGAAGCUUCAAGAACAAAAUUUAAAUUUGGUCAUUUAAGUUCUGGAGCAACCAAGUUUACCAUUCACUUAAUAUAGAAUAGAAGCUAAUAUCUCAAGAAAUAUGUUUUCACUCUAUCUUGACACUUGACAGUAGGAAUGGUAUGGAUAACAUAGCAACUUCUUUUACCAGACAUGGAGUACACUUCCAUACUUCUAUUGUUGGAUAGUGUUUCUUUCAUAUGCCCCUAUUUGCACCAUUGUCAGUAAUGUUUUCUUUCUAGAGUUACUGUCCUUUUGGGAUCAAUUUUUCGUAAAAUAUUCCUCAUUUUGACCUAAUCAUGUUUUUAAACUGAAUUUCUUUUAUUUUAAAAUCUCAGGUCAAAGCUAUUACUGUGCAUGUGAUUCAGAAGUAUUUUGUGGCCGCUGCCAGGGAUGGCCCUUGCUGCUUCUAUGAUAUUUUAACAUGUUCCUGCCUUCUCACAGGUCCACUCGCAUAGGCUACAUUCAGCAGUUCCCAUGUGUGCACUUGCAUACAUGUGUAUGCAGUGCUAAUUUUUUAUCAGAUUGGCAGAGGCUUCAGGAUAUACAUAUGCAUCUUUCCACCUAAAUGUUCUCAUCCUUGGAACAUGAACUACUGAAGUUUAUGAAAAUUUUGUAUGUGAAGACUCAGGCUGGAGUGUAGUGUUAAACAUUGGAGUGAGAGGAGAGUAUAAGGGCAAAGAUGGAUCAGGAGCCUGGCCAGAUGGUUUGUGACCCAACUAAGGCACGUACAAAAGAUUGCAUUGCAAUGUGGUGCUAGCUUAGGUGAUCUGCUUUUUGAGGAUAAAUUUCCAUGUGGGUUUGAGGGAUUAAUUUAAUAAAGAUUUGCAGGGAUCUAUUGUGAUCAUGACUGCAUUGUGGAUACCAUAGCAAACAACUUGUGAGAUUCAGGAAUUGUCAUUAGGUUUGAUCUAAUUGGUUGUUGAACCAAACAAUUCAUGUUGUUUAAUCCUUUUCAAUUCCUGUGGCAUAUAAGAAAAGGGGCAGCACAACCUAAGCAUGAAGAUGAGCAUGCGAAGCAGGUGAAGGCAAAGCUCAGGUUGGUUUGGAUCGGAUGCCUUGGACAUGGUAAUGGAGGUUGAACACCGAUCAGUUGCAACUUGUUAUGUAGGAGACUGAAUCUGUAUAUGAAGUCUGUUUCAUUAGGUAUAACAUUGACGUGCUCAUUUAAAAUUGUUUUAGGGGGGUCAUUCAUAUUAAUUCUUAUUAGUGCACAUAGCAUUUAGUACACUGAAAUCAGAUCCAAGCAUUAAUAAAAAUAGCCAACUGAAUCACUGUAAUUCUAUUUGCCCAUCUAACGAGCGACCAUCAUUUGGGUAGCCAAGCUCAGGUUUAGGCAUCGAAAACAUUGUUAUAACUUCAAAACAAGGAUGGAUUCCCCAUUUUUCUGUUUAAUGAUCAUUGGUACACAUGAAAAGUUGUUACCUUGUAGAUCCAGAUCACAACUAAUGGGAAAGGCCAUAGACAACGACUGAGAAAAUGCCGCUUAUAUAGAUUAGCCUGAAAUCCACCAGAGCAGAUAUUGCGGAGCUGGCCAUGAGCAAACAUAGAGGAACCCUCAAAUAAAAAACCCCGAGCAAACAUAGAGAAAGAAAGAAGGAAAUGUGAUGCAUGAUUGAAGAGGGAGAAUGUAGGUAAGAUGCUCUAUUAGAUUUUUUGUUAUAUUUUUGUGAUGUUUCAUAGCGUUGCACGUGUAUAUAAUUAUCUCUGCCUAAAUUUAUAGUUCCUCGAUGACUUCGAGCAUUUAUUUGGGGUCCAAUAUCCUUCAACUUGUAUGAGUUUUGAUCAAGAGCAUGAGGAUAUAAAUUUAUAUUGACUCGUUCAUGUUCAGCUGAAAUUCAAGUAUGAGGCACAUGUAUUUUGUGUUAGUGGUACAUUGUAUAGGACAAGAAAGUAUAAGGCGACAUUUUAUGCGAUGAACGCUUUUAGUGGAGGGGUUGCUGUUGGAAAUAUGCCCUAGAGGCAAUAAUAAAUGGUU